GACGAACGCUGGCGGCGUGCUUAACACAUGCAAGUCGAACGAAGAGCGAUGGAAUCUUGCUUCUAUCAAUCUUAGUGGCGAACGUGUGAGUAACGCGUAAUCAACCUGCCCUUCAGUGGGGUACAACAGUUGGAAACGACUGCUAAUACCCCAUACGAUCUAAUCUCGUCAUCCAUGAUAGAUGAAAGGUGUCCUCUUCAUUUAUGCUAUCACUCAAGCUGUGUAUUGCGUCUGAUUAGCUAGCUGGUGGGGAAAAGGCCCACCAAGGCGAUGAUCAAAGGACGGACUGGAGAGAGGGAACGGCAAAUUGGGAAUGAGACAAGGCCCAGAAGCCUACGGGAGGCAGCAGGGGGGAAACUUCCGGAAUGGACGGAAGUCUGAAGGAGGAACGCCGGGUGAGGGAUGACGGGCUUCGGGUUGUAAAGCUCUGUUAAUCGGGACGAAAGGCAUUCGUGCGAAUAGUGAGAAGGAUUGACGGUACCGGAAUAGAAAGCCACGGCUAACUACGUG
rnacentral:rRNA from 1 species